UACAUUUCAUCUCCCGCCUCUCCUCCUCUUCUUCUCUGGUUACUGCUUUUGCCUCAAACAUUUUCUUAUUUUCCCGAUGCUCUCUCCUUCUCCUUCCCUUCCUCUCUCUGGUUUCUCUGCUCCUUCCCCUCUCUGGUUCUCUGGCUGCGAAAUUCAACAUUCACAGCACACACCGCACGACUAGCCGCGCCCGAUGCUGUUCCCCACCGUUGCGUCGCCGCUACCGUUCCCCCACCGCCGUGUCGCCGCUGCUGUUCCCCUACCACCAAAUUUGUCCUCUUCCUGUCGCCGCCGAGGCACACACGUGUAGCUCCUCCUCAUCGCUUAUAGCUUCAUCUAGAUAGAUUGUAGGCAAGAAUGUGGGCGGAGAUGGGACUAGUAAGAGGUUAUACUAAGCCUUAAGGCUAGCAGCCUAACUUUUCGGAGCCUGUGGUUCUCUCUGCGUUCACAUGCUCCAUGACGUAUGCAAUUGGACAGGAAGAACAUUCACACUGCCGGUUCAAAGUAUUCAAGCAGACUAGUUCACCCGGUUUUCAAUAAUCCAAGGGAGCGGCCUUUCACCUUUGAGGAGAUGAAGUUCGAGAAAUGCUGGCAAACUUCAUUACCAGUGAUUGUCUUUGAUAUUUUCUUGUAAUGAAUGUUAAAUAUGGAUGCUAGUUUUUCAUAUGAUUGUAAUGUAAUCGACUUUUAUAUUUACAAUUAUAUACUAUUUAAUUUAAUUAUCUAUAUAAUUGGAUACUUUUUAUGUGACU